AUUGAACGCUGGCGGAAUGCUUUACACAUGCAAGUCGAACGGUAACAGGUCUUCGGAUGCUGACGAGUGGCGAACGGGUGAGUAAUAUAUCGGAACGUGCCCAGUCGUGGGGGAUAACGUAGCGAAAGUUACGCUAAUACCGCAUACGAUCUAAGGAUGAAAGCGGGGGAUCGCAAGACCUCGCGCGAUUGGAGCGGCCGAUAUCAGAUUAGGUAGUUGGUGGGGUAAAGGCUCACCAAGCCAACGAUCUGUAGCUGGUCUGAGAGGACGACCAGCCACACUGGAACUGAGACACGGUCCAGACUCCUACGGGAGGCAGCAGUGGGGAAUUUUGGACAAUGGACGCAAGUCUGAUCCAGCCAUUCCGCGUGCAGGAUGAAGGCCCUCGGGUUGUAAACUGCUUUUGUACGGAACGAAAAGGCUCUGGUUAAUACCUGGGGCUCAUGACGGUACCGUAAGAAUAAGCACCGGCUAACUACGUG
rnacentral:rRNA from 1 species